GAGAGAGAGAGAGAGAGAGAGAAACAUCAAUGUGAGAGAGACACUUCAACUGGUUGCCUCCUGCACGCACCCCAACUGGGAGGCGAGGAGCAAACCCACAACCCAGGUGCAUGCCCUUGACCAGGAAUCAAACCCAUGACCCUUGGGUCCAUGGGCUGACGCUCUAACCCAGUGAUGGCGAAUCUAUGACACGCGUGUCAGAGGUGACACGUGAACUCAUUUUUUUGGUUGAUUUUUCUUUGUUAAAUGGCAUUUAAAUAUAUAAAAUAAAUAUCAAAAAUAUAAAUCUUUGUUUUACUAUGGUUGCAAAUAUCAAAAAAUUUCUAUAUGUGACACGGCACCAGAGUUAAGUUAGGGUUUUUCAAAAUGCUGACACGCCGAGCUCAAAAGGUUCGCCAUCACUGCUCUAACCACUGAACAACCAGCUAGGGUUUUACUGCAAUCUCUUAAGGAAACUAGAAUGUGGCAAAUCUGAGAUGCUGAUAUAUCAGCUAGGCCUUGAGGGAUGGAGAAAAAUGGGAGAGGUGUUCCAGGCGAAGAGACUAGCUAUGAUGGAUGCAGAGGGACACAGUGCCUCCUAGGUCCUCAGAAUGGCCAGUGAGUAUGGGAUGAAGUAAAGGCUGGCAGUGAUUAAAGAGAGACCAGAAAGGAAGACAAGAGCCAGCCAGUAUAUGCAAGGUCUGGAACAUAGACGAGGGAGGUAGCCUCCAGGUGGCACCACCCAAAGCUCAGGAUGGAGAAGUGGUGUGAUGGGAUCACUCUGGCAACUUACAAAGGGUGGGAGGGAGACCAGUUGGCACAACAGCAGGCCCUGGGAGAGACAUCUGGGCCAGAGAGAGGCCGAGGAUGAGGGCUGGUACAUCUGAGCCCUGUGCCCUGUGUGCUAUGUUCUCAGGCCUGGGGCCAGCGUUGGAGGGGCUCCCACACACCUUACGCAAGAGACCCUUCCAGCGGUCCUGUCCUGCCUGGCUGGUCACCCCCAGACCCAGCCCAGCCACUCAAUACUGUUCCCCCAGCAUUUGAGCUGAGGUCAGAAUCCCCCCAGCUGUUGGCAGGGCCACCCUCCGCUGCCUUCACCCACAGGGCGACAUUUCCCAUUUAUGUCCAAGCCAAAGGGUAUUUAUAGCCACCACCAAAUAGGAAGAACAAACAAAAAAGAAGCAAAGUUUUAGACUCAAACAACAUGAAAUAUAUUUCAAUAAAAAUUUUUUAACCGAGCAAUGUCAAUUUUUACCAAAAGAUUUUAGGAGUCUGGGCUGCUUGGGUUUACCAGGAAGCUGAUGCUGAGAUGGAGAUAGGAAUGUAGGAUGACUUAUGGGGGAAGGGGGUAACACCUGGGAAAGAGGAGGACGAGAAUAGACUUGUACCACCAUCUGUUUCAAUCAUUGGCCAAGGCCACCUCAACAAGAGCAUAAAAGCCCUGGCCGGUGUUUCUCAGUGGUUAGAAUGCCGGCCCGAGCACCAAAGGCUUGCAGGUUUGAUUCCCUGUCAAGGGCAUGUACCUCCGUUGCAAGUCCAUGUCUCUCUCACAUCAAUGUUUCUCUCUCUCUCUCUCUCUCCCCCUCCCUCCUUCCCUUCCACUCUCUCGGAAAAGCAAUGGGAAAAAUAUUCUCAGGUGAGGAUUUAAAAAAAAAAAAAAAAGCGUAAAUGUGGUUCCAAAGCUGAGUGGACCCUCCAGGAGCCAACAGCUGUAGACUACCAGCUGACCACAGCCUUGCAGCUGGACAGUCCUUUCUUGGAGAGAAAUCUUUGUGUCUUCCAUGGAGCCCUUCCUCCUCCAGCCUCAGCUUGAGUGGGCCACACCUGGUGUGCUUGAAUCCUAAGGAGUCCCCUGCACUUUCUCCAUCACCUUCCUUCCCUCCUGCCUCACUCGGCAGAAGGUAUCUCUCUCCAGAAUCUGUUCUGAGUUCUCCCUCCCUCCACUUCCCAACCCUGAAGCCUUUUCCUUCACUUACCUCCUCACAAUACUAUGUCCCAAACUCGCCACAAGCAAAAUUAGAAUAUGGAUGACUACCUGGGAAAAGAUCUGUGUAACUUGAAUCACUAAGGACUCAUCUUCCUAAGAUAUAAAAAGCUCAACACAAAUCACAGAUAUAACCAAAGAGAAAAGUGAGCAAAAGAUAUAAAUGAGUGGGCUAUGGACAAGGAAAUAAGAUGGCCCUUAGAUGAAAGAUGCUCAACCUGACUCAUAGUUUAAAAAAACCCAAGUUAAAACGACACAGAGAUAUCAUGUUCACCUAUCAGAUUGGCAAAGAUCAAAAAGUUUGACUCAGCGCAGCGUUGGCGGGGAAUCAAGCACACUCACACGCUGCUGGUGGGAACGGCAACUGGGAAAGCUUGUAUGGAGGACAAUUUGGCAAUGUCCCUCUAAGUUACAAAUUCCCUCGAUCUUCAAAAGGCGAUAGAAUGCAAUGGUUAAGAGAAUGGACUGGAGCCAGAGCACCUUGGUCGGAACCUCAGCUGUCCAAGUCAUCUAACGUCUCCCUGCCUCAGUUUUUCUCAUCUGUAAAAUGGGAUGAUAAUAGUACCCACCUCUGGAGAAUCCUGUAAGGAUUAAAAUACAUUAAUUAUUGUAAAGCACUUACCACGCUGCCCAGCCCUUAGUAAAUGCCAUGCAAAUGUUAACUAUCAUCAUUAUUAAUUGACCCAGCAAUUCCACUGCUAGGAAUUUACCCUACGGGUAUGUUUGCACAUGUGUUAAAUGAGUUUACAAUGUUAUUCAUUACAGCAUUGAUGCAACAGGGGAGAAAACUGGAAAUAAUCCAAAUGUCCAUAAACAGGCUAAAUUCAUUGUGAUGCCUGUACCUAAUAGAAUGACACACACACACACACAAAAGCUCUUUAGUACUGAUCCAAUGUGUACAGAAUACUACCAUAAGUUUUAAAUAAGGAGUAGUAUAAACACAAGUCCACAUUCCCUUAUCCACAGUUACGAAAUUGAAAAAUCUCUAAAAGAACAGAAGUUUAAAAAAAAAAAAAUUUUUUUUUUUUUUUUUUGGCCCAAACAACAUUUGGUAGCAAAACCUGAAUUUAACCGAACUGACUUCAGGCUGAUUACAGCUUUAUUUACCCUAAAUAAUUGUGCAGAAAUAUUAGCGUGUGUUAUCACAGUCCCUGCUGAGGUGUGACAUAUACACACACUGCCUUUGUUGUUUCAGGAGUAGAGGGUGCUGUCUCAUCACAGGGCUUUCCAGGUAAGAAAGAUAAAGAAAGAUAAAGUUUGUGCACAAAAAAGGCAGCAGUGGUUCAAUACAGCCUCUGCUGCAGAGGGCGGGCCCCACCCCCAUGUGCUCGUCCGCCUGUCACAAUCACCCAGCAACAGCCACCUGCGGAAUGGAAGUUCCCCCGCGGCCCUACCUUUGUACACACGUUGAAUUCCGAAUUCCCAAACACACCUGCCCCCAAAGGUUCCCGAUAAGGAACUGUGGGCCUUUAUCUGCCUUUUUUGUUUGUGUUUUCCCAUUAAAACACCCCUUUAAGGAAACUGGCUCCCGUAGCCUCUAAUGGAAGAAGCUGCCUGGCUGUGUGACAGGAACGUGAGAAACCAUCUCACUGUAUUUGAAUCCAAGAACUUUGAAGAGUCUAUGGAUGUCUUACUCAUUCUGGAAAAAAAAUAAGUACCCCUGAGGACCUGCUCAGCCCAGCUGUCGGGUCGUGUUCAAGCCUGAAUGCCCGCUCAUGGGCAUCUCCGUGCCAGGCAGCCUGGGAACUUCAACCUGGGAACCAGGGCUCCAGGGUGGGGGCCGGUAGGACCGGAGCCUCAUCACUGACUCACGUGCUGCCCUGGGCACGGUGGCGAGGCCUCCUCCCUAGAAGAGUGGAGAUAAUGAGAGUGACUAAGUGGCGAGCACUCUGAUGGGCCGAUUGGUGGGGAAGCCAGGUUUCCUCAGCAGCACCGUCUGCACACCUUUCCCCUCUGGGAGGGCGAGAGCCACGCUCCACAGGCCUCCUCGGCUCCGCUCCCAACAGAGACCCGGUGGGAGGAUGCAUCUGUGAGCAUAGGGCCUGCAGAUUGAGGGGUGGAGAGCAGGGUUCCGGAAACCAAACCCACUGAGCCCCGCCCACCAGGCUCAUCUAGCUUUCCUUAUUCAUCAUUAAGGAAAAUUUAUCACUAGUAAAGUUCUAUUUCAUUCUUUUUAAUGACUGUAUAGCAUUCCUACAUAUGGAUGUACCAUAACGUGCACAGCCAUUUACCUGUGACUGGACAUUCAAUUCUAAUUUUUGGACACUAUGGAAACGCCACAAAAAUUAUCAUUAUUUGGAACAAAUAUUUGAGAACAGAUGAUAAGGAAUGGAUUGGUGGUCCAAAUAUACUUAUACAUAUGUAAUGUGUAUGUUAUACUUAAUUUUACAUAAUAAUUUUAAUUGAUGUUGCCAGAUUGGUUUUUAAAGACUAUGAAAUGUACAUUUUUAUAAACAAUGUAGUAUAUGAAUAUCCCUUUCUCUGUGUGUCCACUAGCAAUAGGUAUUACCAAUCCUUUUCAUUUUUUUCACUAACUUCUAGUGAUUUUUUUCAUAUUUUUUGGCUCUUUGAAACUGCUCUUCCAUAAGUCGCCGAUAUUUCUAUUGGUUAAAUAAUCUUUUUCCUGUCAAUUUGUAAAAGUUUUUUCCACCUUUUGUUCAGAUUUAUAAAUACAGUUUCCAAAUCUCUUGAUUUGUUGUCAUUGUGUUAUCUUUUGCCACAAAAAUUUUAAAAGUUUGCCCUGGCCAGGUGGCUCAGUUGGUUGGAGCAUCAACCUGUUCACCAAAAAGUCUUGGGUUUGAUUCCUGAUGAGGACACAUACUUAGAUUUCGGGUUCAGUCCCAGGUCAGGGCAGGGCAGGUAUAGGAGGCAACCCAUAGAUGUUUGUCUCUCACAUCGAUGUUUCUCUCUCUCUCACUCUCUUCUUGCUCUCUCUCUAAAAUCAAUUUUUAAAAACAACAGCAUAUCCUCGGAUGAUGAUAAAAUAUAAAAUAAGAAGUUUAAAAGUUUAAUCUAGUCAAAUAUGUUCAUUUUUUCUUUCAUUGCUUCUGGGUAUUUGUUAAAGCUUUGCCCCACCUCAAGUCUUCAUGGCCCAAGAAGGCUGCCAGUGCUCUAGCCAUCACAUCUGUAUUACUGGCAGCAGGAUGAAGAAAUGGACAAGAAGAGCGCCCCACCUCCCUUGAAAGAAACUUAAAUAGAAAUUUCCACAUGAGAAUUCUACUGACAUGUCUUUGGUCAUAACUCAGUUCCACAGCCAGAGCUAGCUGCAAGGAAAAUACUACCACGGCUGCCUUUGGGAUAUGCAAUCUGCCACACCGAUGCGUAGAACCGAGGCCACGCUUGCUUUGUGGCAUUCAGUAGACAAGCAGAGACCACAUACUGCUGAGGGCAACUGGAACCUGGAAACCCAUCUCUUAGGAGAGAAAAGGCCUCUAUUUUGUCCCCCACAGGCAUUACGCUUAAGACCAUAGCCUACUAAGUCACAGAGAGGGCACUCAGGAGGGUCUCAGCUCUGAGGCUGUGGAAUGCAAGCACAGCCCAGAGUAGCCACAGGUCCAGGGGUGGCACCUCCGCCUUGGGUCCCUCUCCUGGCGUCUUCCCCAUGGAGGGGCAAAGGUUUGUGGCUGGGUGGGAAUAGUUAAGCCUGCUGGCAUGCAGGGCUGAUGGCUUCUGAACUCUGGGAAGAACCACCAGGCAUUUCCAGGCAGGUGGAGGCUUUAGGGGAUGAUUCAUGCCAGUCUGCGGAGUGUGUCUGCGUCAGAGAGAAAAACACAACAUUGCAAAUACUUUCUCAGUCACUCAGAAGCCCGCUCGUCAUUCACCGAGGGCCCAAAGAGAGGCCAGCCACAUCUGUCCAGGUAUUUCUUGCAGGUUUUCUUCUGACAGUUCUGCUCUCGGGUGAGAAAAGCACCAAAUGGAAGAGGUAGGUCAAGGGAGGACAGCUGGCCAUGAAGAAGAGAGACCUCGAAGGUUCAUCUUGGAAGAAGCUGGAAGCAAAAGCCAGCAUGCCAUGCUCUGGGCGAUGUGGAUCCCAGCAGGAUGGCCUGCAGGCACAGGCCCAUCCCACCAGGCCCAGAUGGCUACUCUUUUUUUUUCUUCUUUAGUCCGUGGGUCUGUUUAUUGAUUUUAGGGAGAGAAAGUGUGAAAGAGAAAAAGAGAGAGAGAAACAUCAAUGUGAGAGAUAAACAUCAAUCGGUUGCCUCCCAAACAUGUCCCAACCUUGGAUCAAACCCACAAUUUAGGUAUUUGCCCUGACCGACUGGGAAUCAAACCCACAACCUUUUAGUGUCCGGGCCAGUCCUCCAACCAGCUGGCAACUCUUCUCCGAGCGCCUCCACCUCGCUGAGCCUUGGCUUCUCCUUUCUAAAGGGGGGUGGCCAUCCUGGCCCUGCCUCCUGGCCAGUGUGAGAAGGGUUGCUCUGGACAGUCCUCCGGGCUCUCAUAGGUCAGAAAGCUCAUGGUCAGCUCUGCCGCGGACGAGUGUGCUCUGCUACGCUUCUCUUGUGUGUGUGUGUGUGUGUGUGUGUGUUUAAAAUAACUUUAAUAAAAUUAUAUAAGCAUUACAUGUUCACUGUUAAAAUAAUCAGGAAACACAAACAAGAAAAAGGCAAUACGAGAGAGAAAAGAGCUUUUACAUCUCUGCAUAUGCUCUUACAGUUUCUAAUACCCAAAUAUAUUUUCAAUAGGAACUUACUUUAUGUAUGGUUGUGUCCUCUCGUUUUUCACUCAAAUAUAUGCCAUGAGUUUCUUUCUGUCAACAAGCAAAUGUCCACGACGUAUUGUAAUGCUUCUAUGGUCACAUUCUCUCAAAGCCGUAUUCAGUUCUGAACAUAGGACCAGUAUUACUCAUUUUUCCUUUGCCGCAGGUCCCGAUAGGCCUCGCAUAGAACUGCUACUGAUCCUGUCUUUAUUUAAAAUUUUGCUGUUUUGUUCACCAUGGGUUGAUUUUUAUUUGCUAAAAUGUUACUUAUCUUGAUUACAGAAUUUCUUGGUACCCCUUAUGGUCUUCAUCCUAGGCAAGUACCUCACUUGCUUUCACCCUCGUCCCAGUCCUGAGUCAUGCGAGUAGUUCAUACGUUCUGUGUCUAACUGUUAGGAUCCUAAGGUUGUUUCCAUUUUUUUCCAGUUUAUUUGUCUCUGGAUUUCCAGCACCGUGCCCAACACCUGGUAUGUACUUGAUCAACAUUUAUCAAAUAAGUGCAGGAACGAACGAAUGAAUGAAUCGGUGAAAUAAAGAAACACUACGAUGAUCGUUCUUGUGGGCAGUGGGUGUCAGGAGAGAAGGGCAAGAGGCGGGAGCCACAUUGUCCAGGAAAGCAACUACCCCCUUCUGCCACACAGAGCUCAGGAAAGGGGGCAGCCCAGGCAGGCGGGCACGGGCAGCUUUCUGGUGGCCUGGGUGUCCUCUCAGUGCACGCACCGCACAGGCCCACCUGACGGUCCCUUUGGAGGUUCCACCACUUCCUAACGGAGCCAUCAUUACUCUAGCCUGGCCCUGGCCCUGGCCCAGGCAGCUGAAACCAAAACAUUGCCACGUCCCCACGGUGGGACUAGGACAGCUCAUGCAGAGGCGCACACGCCCAGCCCCGAGAGCCUCCCUCACACAGGCUGACUCAGGAGCUGCUUGGACACUGGGCUGCAGGCUCAUGGGCCGGGGCUUUAGGCCUGGGCCCCAGUGUGCAGCUGCCUCUCUCCACGGCAACAGCAACAGGGAUUUUCCCAGCCCAGCCAAUGUGUGGAAUUUUAACAUAACAAAGCCGGAAUCCAAGAGAGGAAAUUCUAAGAACAUGAAAUAAGUCAGAGGAGCAGAGGGGGGGGGGGGGUGUUUAUUUUCCAUCCACUGCCUGGUCUCCUCCCUCCCCCUCCAACCUCCACCCCAAAGGGGAGGGUGGGGGGAAGGGGUCCGGAUUCAGUUGUCAGCACCACAAAUCUAAAGGAAACCCAUCUUCCUGUGUUUGCCAAGGAACAAUGCUGGAGAGGACAUCCAAGGCCUGCACUUUUCCUCUGCACAGAAGAAUUUAGGUCCAGUGCAUUCCUGGGAGGGGGGCCGGACAAGGAAUGCCUGGAUGUAAACAGUCCUGUCCCUUCACUCAGGAUCAUUCGGGACACACAGGUGGGGACAUGUAGGACACCUGGUGGCCUUCUGUGAUCAGAUCCACACUCCCCACACCAGGUAAGGAUCUGACUGUGGACUUGGAGCCAUGGUCCCACCUUGCAUCCAAGCAGCUAAAACAUUUGGUCCCAUCUGCUGCCUCAGUGUCUAUCUCCCAUCACUGUUUUCUCCUCUCCCUUCCUCAGCUCUUAUCAGCUUCUAUCACUCCUUUCCUGGACGAUGGCCCAAUUCCAGCCUUCCUGGCCCUGACCCUCCCUGCUUCAUUCAUUCAGGACCUUACGAUAGCCAAUCACACCACUUUCAUCUCCAGCAUGCUCCCCUCCUCAACCAGGGAGGGACAAAACAACAGGAAGUUCCAUGAUUGUGUCCACCUCCUCCCCCAAGCACCCCCUCAGGGAUGUAGAACUGGACAGCUGCCCUUUUCAGGGGUAGAAAUGGCUCCUUUAAGGGGGAAGAUAAAGAGUCCGAGAAUCGCCCUAGCUGGUUCUCUCUCAUCAUUGAUGUUUCUCUCUCCCCCCCUUCUUUCCUCUCUGAAACCAAUUAAAAAAAUAUUUUUUUUUUAAAAAAAGAGUCUGAAAAUCAGGCCAAGUGUUGAGACCAGUCAGUGUUUACUGAGCACCUGUUAGGUACCAGGCGCCAUGCCCAAUGCUAUGGGCCUUACCUCUCAGUCUACACAGUCUCCAAAGCAUUAUGCCGGGUCCCGAUCCUUCCUCCUUACCCUCCUCACAGGCCCACUCCUGUGCCUCCUGCAGAAUGGGCUUCAUAAUCGACCAAGAUCAUGGAAUCGACUGAGGUGGGCACCAUGAUCCCUGCUGUGAUGCAGCUGGCCACCUGGCAGUGACACCUGGGAAGCCAAUAACGAAACAAGGCAUGCCUGGAACUUGCAUUGCUCACCAUCAGGAAGGGCUGUGAAUGCUGCCAGGAAAGGUGGGAAAGCAGAAGCCAGACUCUCAUUGGCCACGUACCUUACGUACCUUCUUGGCUGCAGGAAGAGGUGAGGAGUCGGGAGAGCUGGCUCGGAGGUGGGGUUUGAUAGCUGGUUCGCCUUGCUUGCUGGAUUUCUCAGCCUCUAGGAGGAAGAAAACACAGCGGUCCCUCCUGCCUGGCAGGGUGCACAUCUGGAGGUGGGCCCAGAGUGACAAGGUGGCAAGAGGCCAUGCGGCCCUGGUUUGAGGUUGCAACCCUGACGCCAGGUUUGCCUCCUCCCCGUGACACAGAAAAUGGACAUUCUAGAUGUUUCUCACCGCCCUGACAUUCCUCAAAUGGCUGCCAGGGCUCUGCCUCAGCGGGGUACCAGGGCGCUUGAGGUGAUAAUGACUUAAGUUAGACACAAGAGUGAUGAGCCUGUCCAUUUUCCAAACGUUUACUGAACCCAGGCCCUACCUCCAAGAGACUUCCUGUCCAGGGAGGCAGACACCCAACCGGGGCCGUAUAAGGCAGAGUGAUAAGUGACAAGAUAGAGGCAGGCCCAGAGACCCUGGGAGCACUGGGGAGUGGUGCCUGCCCAGCCUGGGACGGCGUGUGGGCACAAUGGCUCCUGUGGAAGGGGCUGUUCUCCAGCGAAGCCCUGAGAGAGUUGUGACUGACCAGGGGGUCGGGGGCAGGAGACGGAGCUCUGAUUCCUGCCUGCGCUCUUUAGUGUCUGAGGCCAACAUGCCAUUGUGCUGAUCUUUUGCUACAGGAUCUCUGUGGAUUUUGUUGGUCAUGUGGCUGGAUGGGCUAGCCUUUAAGUUGAGUUGUAAAGUCAUUCUCUGAAGAUGAGUGGGAUUCUGAUUCCUACUGGGCCCAGGUGGGAUCUGGUUUCAGGGAUGAAUUUGCCCCAGAAAUUCACCUCCUUCCCCUGGAGUUACUUCAGGCCAGGAUCCUCUUCAUUGAUGUGUGGAGCCUCAUCUCACAACCCUGAGUGUCCAGUUGUGUGCGGGAGGACUGGGCAGGGAGGCUCAGGUCCCACCUGCUGCUAACACUCUCACACACUUAGGUGAAUGGCUGCCCCUCUCCCCCCAACCCCCCACUGAGCCCCUCAGUCCACCCUUGUGCUUCAAAUCAAUAGAAGGCUGCCAGGCCUUACUUUUCCCAUGUUAAAAAAAAAUAAAUUGAGGUAAGAAACUCUUUAAAAAAAACUAUAGUUUUUAAAAGUAUCAUUAUACAAAGUAAUGUUUCUUAAAAUUCUGAGUGUGCUUCAGAAUGACCAGUUGGUAGGGGAAAGGUUUGUUUAAAAUGCAUUUUCCUCGGCCCACUCUGAGUGAGGAGGUUGCAGAUGGGGCCCAGGAAUCUGCAUGUUUAAAGUUAUUCUACGGACUCUGAUGCCCUCGGUCUUUGGAAGGCACUUUGGCAAGAAGUGACACGGAGGACCUUACGUCUGAACUCAACCAUCUUGCACACCCCAAUUUGGAGACCACUGACCUAACCGGAGCCUCCACCCCAGGGGCCCACAUCUCUGAAAGCCAGCCUUCCUCUCUCAGGAAGGGGACCCAGCAGUUAGCCAAGCCCCUGCAUACCAGGCAGGCAGGCCCCUACAACAGGAUCAAUGCUGACAGCACAGAAAAAUCAUGGCCCGGUUCAGAUUGCUACUGUGGCAUCUGCAAUUGCCAAGCUCCCCCAUACCCCGUCUUGUCAGGUUGGAGGGCACGCAGACUGAAUGAAGACUGUGCUGAGGACCUUGGGAAGAUGGGGAGGGCCGCAUAGGGUUGGAGGACUCCCUUAGGGUCUCUGGUUCAAGCAGGGGCUGCAUUCUCAGAGGGCAGCCAGGUUCCUGGGUUGAGCAUGGGGAAACAGCGGCCCCUGGUGGCUCAGACACGUCCUGCCUCAGAACCUCAGCACCCCUUCUGCUUUCAGGGUUUCUGCUUUCUUGCUAGGUUGAAAAAUAAUAGUGCUACAGUGUUAGAACUCUCCUGCAAAGUCCGGUAUAGCUUUUCAGCUUGAGGGUGGGCUGCAGCGGGAGAGAAGGACUGGGAACCACCCACCGUAAAAAUAAAGCUUCAGUGGAGACAUUGUGAGGUCAGACGACAGACUCCUAAAGUUCCAGUCCCGGAUUGCCGUGGACUGUUCUCCCCUUUCCAGGCCCCAGCCUUUUCCUGCCUCUCGUCUCUCCCUGACACCCUGGUCCUGCCUUUCCUGGCUCUGCCCUCAAAACUCAAGAAGGAGAGAAACAAAGGAAGGGGCCAAUCCGUGGAAAAGGGCUCUUCCAAAUUCAAGUCCUUUAAAAUUCCUUUGGGAGCGUUUAGAAGGCCUUUGUUAAAGGUACAUAUCAAUCUAAGUAAUAACAACAAUAAUAAUCUCCAGGAAAAUCAUAAUGAACAUUUUUUAUUGAUUGAUUUUAGAAAGAGAGGAAGGGGGAGAUAGAGAAAGAAACAACAAUUUGUUGUCCUACUUACUUUUUCAUUCAUUGGUUGAUUCUUGUAUGUGCCCUGACCAGGGAUAGAACCCACAACCGUGGCAUAUCAGUAUGAUGCUCUAACCAUCUGUGCUACCUGGCCAGGGCUCAUCAUGAACUUUUUGACUCAGCCAUGAACUACACUCACAUAUUAAUCCCCCACCCCCAAAUAACUAAUAAUUUAACGGGAAAUUGGGACAUAACUGCGACAGUAGAAUGGAGAGAAGGGCAGUGGGGGCAUGGAGGUAGUAUUAGUGCUAAAUCUUCAUCUCCCAUAAAAGGAAGUCAAAGAUAAUGCCUAGUAUUAAGAAUGACAGAAAUUCGCAGCAAAAAAAAGAGAAAAAAGCUAAAAAGUUUAAUAAUGGGUAUCAGGAGUAAGACAUUGCAGAACAGUGCUAUCUGUAAACCGUAUAAACCAUACUUUAUUCACAAUGUCACUCUCAUGCACUACUUUGAUUUUUUUAAAAACCACAGUCAUCUGAAAGUGGUGUAAAAGCAAGAGAAAUGUCAGAGGCAGUGUUGAGAAACAUUUCCGUUAAGGCAGAGGGAAAAGACCACCAGAUGGAAGAUGUGAGAUAAAAACAAAAUGACACGAGGACAAAUCCAGAUGUCUGGAUGCAGGGGAACAGCAGAGGCGAGGGGAGAGGGAACCAUUGAGGAAGUGACCGGAGGACAUUUUCCUGAGGCAAAGAAAGACACGGGUCAUUGGGGAAAGAUCCCUUGAGGCCAAGAACAGGAAAAAGAAAUCCAGAUGGCCAAUAAACAGAAGAAACAAUACCAAGCCAUACAUCCAGCUGAAGAAAUACACAUGAAAACACCAAUAUUUUCAUCUACAUUGGCAAUACUUAGAAAGCUUGAACCUUUAUUAUCUGUAUUAUCUUUUUAAAAAGAUUUGCUUUUCAUAGAUAGUAUUCACUAUAUGCUGGUAUAAACAUUUUUUCCCCUGGGUGGAUGGAUAACCAAUGAGCCAAUGUAGAUGGGCAGAGGGACUGACUGUAGGUGAGGACAAAAAAGAGUGAUACUUUUCAUGUUUCACCCUUUGCGUGAUAUUGUGUAAUUUUAUGCUUUAAAAGUGUUAAUUGGAAUAAAAUGUUAAUUGGGUGGUGACAUUAUUGCCAUCUUUGUUUUCCUCAUAAUACAUUUUGGUAUUAAAUCAAAUAAAUGGUCCUGACCGGUUUGGCUCAGUGGCUAGAGCGUUGGCCUGCGGACUGAAGGGUCCCAGGUUUGAUUCUGGUCAAGGACAUGUACCUUGGUUGCACACACAUCCCCAGUAGGGAGUGUGCAGGAGGCAGCUGAUCGAUGUUUCUCUCUCAUCGAUGUUUCUAACUUUCUAUCCCU